rnacentral:rRNA from 1 species
GACGAACGCUGGCGGCGUGCUUAACACAUGCAAGUCGAACGGAAAGGCCCUGCUUUUGUGGGGUGCUCGAGUGGCGAACGGGUGAGUAACACGUGAGUAACCUGCCCUUGACUUUGGGAUAACUUCAGGAAACUGGGGCUAAUACCGGAUAGGAGCUCCUGCUGCAUGUUGGGGGUUGGAAAGUUUCGGCGGUUGGGGAUGGACUCGCGGCUUAUCAGCUUGUUGGUGGGGUAGUGGCUUACCAAGGCUUUGACGGGUAGCCGGCCUGAGAGGGUGACCGGCCACAUUGGGACUGAGAUACGGCCCAGACGCCUACGGGAGGCAGCAGGGGGGAAUAUUGCACAAUGGGCGGAAGCCUGAUGCAGCAACGCCGCGUGCGGGAUGACGGCCUUCGGGUUGUAAACCGCUUUCGCCUGUGACGAAGCGUGAGUGACGGUAAUGGGUAAAGAAGCACCGGCUAACUACGUG